rfam:Triticum aestivum genome assembly, contig: Triticum_aestivum_CS42_TGACv1_scaffold_134405_2BL
UAUAUAUUUCCUCUGUCCAAAAAUAUUUGUCAAAGAAAUGCAUAAAAAUAAUUGUAUUUAGAACUAAAAUACAUCUAGAUACAUCCAUUUUUUUGACGAGUAUUUUCGGACGGAGGGAGUACUAG